AAAGGCAAACUUCGAGAAAUCGGAGGACGCAAAGCCGUGAGCCCGCCCGACGUGUGGCGGGUCGUCAGGCUGCCGAA
rnacentral:ncRNA from 1 species